rnacentral:rRNA from 1 species
UACGUAGGGCGCAAGCGUUGUCCGGAAUCAUUGGGCGUAAAGAGCUCGUAGGUGGUCUGUUACGUCUGCUGUGAAAACCUAGGGCUUAACCCUGGGCCUGCAGUGGAUACGGGCAGACUAGAGGUAGGUAGGGGAGAAUGGAAUUCCCGGUGUAGCGGUGAAAUGCGCAGAUAUCGGGAGGAACACCAGUGGCGAAGGCGGCUACCUGGACCAGCACUGACACUGAGGCACGAAAGCUAGGGGAGCAAACAGG